GUGUAGCUCAGUAGGAUAGAGCGUUCGCCUCCUAAGCGAAAGGUCGGGGGUUCGAUUCCCUUCA
rnacentral:tRNA from 1 species